CGUAACAGGUCUCCGUAGGUGAACCUGCGGAGGGAUCAUUACACAAUAUGAAGGCGGGCUGGACACCCUCCAGCCGGGCACUGCUUCACGGCGUGCGCGGCUGGAGCCGGCCCUGCUGAAUUAUUCACCCGUGUCUUUUGCGUACUUCUUGUUUCCUGGGUGGGCUCGCCCGCCAUCAGGACCAACCAUAAACCUUUUUGUAAUGGCAAUCAGCGUCAGUAACAACGUAAUUAAUUACAACUUUCAACAACGGAUCUCUUGGUUCUGGCAUCGAUGAAGAACGCAGCGAAAUGCGAUACGUAGUGUGAAUUGCAGAAUUCAGUGAAUCAUCGAAUCUUUGAACGCACAUUGCGCCCUUUGGUAUUCCAAAGGGCAUGCCUGUUCGAGCGUCAUUUGUACCCUCAAGCUUUGCUUGGUGUUGGGCGUCUUUUGUCUCCAGCUCGCUGGAGACUCGCCUUAAAGUCAUUGGCAGCCGGCCUACUGGUUUCGGAGCGCAGCACAAGUCGCGCUCUUGCCCAGCCAAGGUCAGCGUCCAGCAAGCCUUUUUUCAACCUUUGACCUCGGAUCAGGUAGGGAUACCCGCUGAACUUAAGCAUAUCA
rnacentral:rRNA from 1 species